rnacentral:rRNA from 1 species
UACGGAGGGUGCAAGCGUUAUCCGGAUUCACUGGGUUUAAAGGGUGCGUAGGCGGGUAAGUAAGUCCGUGGUGAAAUCUCUGAGCUUAACUCAGAAACUGCCGUGGAUACUAUUUGCCUUGAAUAUUGUGGAGGUGAGCGGAAUAUGUCAUGUAGCGGUGAAAUGCUUAGAUAUGACAUAGAACACCAAAUUGCGAAGGCAGCUCACUACACAAUCAUUGACGCUAAGGCACGAAAAGCGUGGGGGAUCAAAACAGG